GCUGUAACACCAGAUUAAGAAUGGCUACGGGUGGUCUUUCCGGGUAAAAGCAGGGCUGGCGGCUGAGAGCAGUUAGCCUCAUUUCAGAUAAUGGUGCUUCACCCUUCGAAAUUAGAAUCAGUAAUUCAUCACAGGUGAAACAUCUCGAAAUUCCUGCCCUCUCAUCCCGGGGGGCAUAGAGAGGGCCAUCUAAGAACGUGACAAUGACUACACCAGGGCCUUUCCACAGAAACAGUUUAGCAAUACUGAAAGCACUGAGUCAGCCCAUCCCCAUCAGCCAGGGCCUGUUGGAACGGUAGUGACAAAAAAUGAUUGCCCAAAGAAAUAAUAAUAACAACAACAACAACAAUAAUAAUAAAGUAGUGGUUUGGGAAAGGUUAAGGAUCCUGUGUCUGCCAUCUAAUGUGUCCAAUCAUAGCCAUCAUCCUUACAUGCUAUUAGGAUGUACUUCAUAGCUUCCUUUCACCUCCCAUUAAAGGCCCCACAUGCAGCGAUUAUUGGUCUAGCCCAGGAGUGGUUUUCAGCUCCAGCUAAGUCAGUAAUGCAACCUUCUGGAGCCAGGCUGGCCUGCCAGUUCUCUGGCCUGCCAUGAAUCUGUGGGCAAGUGCAUAGGACAGUUCUUCCUGAGUAACCCAGAUGGGACAUGAACUAAUUUAAGAAACCCCAUUUUAUGUAACUAGAGCCAAUAAAAACGCCUAAAUUCCCGGCAGCCUCCCGCAGAGCCACGUGGCUGCCCAGCUUCCCCCAGCCUUUGGCCCUGACUGAGGCUUUUACCUUGUGCUUUGAGAACAGGUGAGUGAAACAGAAGUCAAAGCAGCUUAUGUGAUAAAAGCUUGAGCACCUAUGAGGUGUUUGACAGUAUACUUGUGCUAAGGGGUAGAAAAGGAUUAAGAAACAAAGUCCUUUUCCUCAAGGAACUAACCAUCUAGUAGCAGGAGGUAAAAUUCAUGUUUGAAUAGUCAGUAAACAAAGUAAGUCUUCCAAGAUCACCCAUUACGGCUAGCCCUCUGGGGACUCCCAUUUUCCUAGCUUUAUUUUGUGAGAAGGGAAUUUAGACAAAAUCAUGUUAGUUCACCCCCCACACACAUUUUAUUGAUGAAGAAAUCCAGUCCUAGGGAAACCAAAGUGAUUGCCUAAGCCACAAAGCCAGCAAGGAAUGGAGUGAGGACUUGAAACGGAGUUUCUUGUCCUUCUUUUUUAUUAUUUAUUCGGUCUCUCCCCCUGCCCCCCAUUAAAAUUGCCCUAUUCUAAGAGACCAUCUUGAACUUGAAAGUCACAUGAAACUUGAUGAGCUUCUAAGAUCGAGCAACAGCAUUUCUCUCCUUGUUUUCUGUGCCAGCAAACGUCUGGGUUGCCUGGGAGGGGCGGGGGGGGGGGGGGGGGGGCUGUGGGAGAGCGCCGGGAAGGCAGCUGGGAGCCAGCGCAGAGCUGAGCUGAACUUCCUGGCUCACGAAUAUGGGGUUGAUCUUUUCCCUGCAUGAAACAAGGAUCGAGAAAACUGGGAGUUUUCCUUCCAUCUUGGCCACUGACGUGUCCUGGGGCUGGAAGCCAAUGACUUAAUUUUUGCCAUCCCUGGCUCCCUCCUUGGAGAAGUGAGGCUGGAUUCUUAAUCGAAACUCGUGGGACACGAAGUACUCAAACAAAUGGUUCCCAGACAGCUCCGAGAAAACACCCGUGUGUGCGCUUUCCACCCCUCAGAGAGUUAAUCUCCUCUCGCCUGUCUGAAAUACUAAACCACCAGCACUUUCUGGCAGCCAGAUACUUAGGUGUCAUUUUCUUCAGCCCCAGCCGGUCUCUACACGAACAGGUUAAAAAGGUGGGGAGUGGAAGGUGGGGGGAAAGUAAGGCAGAACAUUUCAGCGAAGGCGAAAACUGCUUUUGGAAAAUGGGUCAGCAGCUAAAAAGUAAGGCCAGGCAGGCGACAGCUCUGAACGACUUACCUUAGCACCACCACGGACAGACAGACCGGCCGACGGGGUGGUCGUGUUCUCUCCUUCUCACACUCCACCUUGGGUCGCUCCCGCCUCCCUCCUCCCUCUCCAGGCCCAGACUGGAGAAUUUAUUGUCAAAGGAAGCACAUGAUGGGAGCUGUGGCCGCUAGGGCUCUGGAGUCAGAGGGAUGUGGGUGUGAACUCAGUUCCGCCACUGGCCGACUGGGCACCACAGCCAGGUGCCUGGGCAGGCACACUGUGCUCCUGGUGCUGGCCUUGCCUGCCCAAGGGUCAGCACCCACUGCCAGCCAUCUCUCCACCCUUGUGCAGGGGACAGGUCCCAGAGCAUCCCCAUCCACACUGCCAGGUUCUGCUCAAGUAGGUCACACGAAGUGGGUUGCUCUACACUGCAAGCAAAGGAAACACGGCUUGUUUUUAAAAUAACGUAUAACAGGUUGCAUAUAUUUUGGUAUAUCCUUGUGAUGGAACACUAUGCAGCUGUGAAAAAUAAUAAAUACGUAUGUAUAUAUUUCUACAUUCUAACAUGCAAAAGUGACUAUAUUAUUUAUUAACAUGAUCUCAUCUUUGUCAAUAUAUAUGGCAGAUAAACGCAUGUACAUUCAUAUAUAGAUUCAUGCUUGUUCACUGCUCGUUGGCCCUGACACCUGCCCGGAACAUAGUGAGCAACCAUUCUAUAUGUGUCAGAUGAAUAAAUCAUAAAUGUCUGGAAGAACA